rnacentral:rRNA from 1 species
GACGAACGCUGGCGGCGUGCCUAAUACAUGCAAGUCGAACGGUCUUUUCUAUGAAGCUUGCUUCCACUGAGAAGAUAGUGGCGAACGGGUGAGUAACACGUGGGUAACCUGCCCAUAAGAGGGGGAUAACAUCCGGAAACGGGUGCUAAUACCGCAUAGGUUUCUUGAACGGAUGAUCGGGAAAGGAAAGACGGCCUUGGUGCUGUCGCUUAUGGAUGGACCCGCGGCGUAUUAGUUAGUUGGUGAGGUAACGGCUCACCAAGACGAUGAUACGUAGCCGACCUGAGAGGGUGAUCGGCCACAUUGGGACUGAGGCACGGCCCAAACUCCUACGGGAGGCAGCAGUAGGGAAUCUUCCGCAAUGGACGAAAGUCUGACGGAGCAACGCCGCGUGAGUGAAGAAGGUUUUCGUAUCGUAAAACUCUGUUGUCAGAGAAGAACAAGUCGGAGAGUAUCUGCUCCGGCCUUGACGGUAUCUGACCAGAAAGCCACGGCUAACUACGUGCCAGCCGCCGCAGUAACAC